UUUAUUUCUUGACAAAAUGUAUGUUUAUUUCUAAAAGAUAGAAUAAUGUAUUUUAAGUUGUUUGGUUCACGUUUUAAGAUUUGUGUUAAAUGAUUGUAUUUUAUUUCGUGUCAAAUAAUUUUUUGUCAAAAGGUAUCGCGAGAUUUGUGUGCAUGUGUGAGGCUGCGAGACUUAAGUAAGCAUAGAAGAAGCAGAAGCUCGUGCCAGAGCUAUGUGUAGCAGCCUCGUGUCCUGUCGUUGUCAAGAGUGAACAACGACGAAUCAUUCUGUUAAAGACCUCCGAAGUGGCAGGCGGCCACGAGGUAACUUUUUUGUCAAAGCACGCGUCACCUGUCUGUUUGUAAAUGUAUCUAUGUCUAAAGCUUUGUCUUUUAUUUCUGUAGUUUUCACGGCAUCUAAUAAAGAGCCCGUCUUAAGAAA